UACGUAGGGUGCGAGCGUUGCCCGGAUUUAUUGGGCGUAAAGGGCGCGUAGGCGGUGAGAUGCGUCCGUUGUGAAAUCGCCCGGCUCAACUGGGCGGGGUCAGCGGAUACGGUCUCACUUGAGCAAGCUAGGGGGCAAUGGAAUUCCCGGUGUAGUGGUGGAAUGCGUAGAUAUCGGGAGGAACACCAGUGGCGAAGGCGGUUGCCUGGGGCUUUGCUGACGCUGAUGCGCGAAAGCGUGGGGAGCGAGCCGG
rnacentral:rRNA from 1 species